GUUACUCUGAUUUAUGGGGCUAUAAGCAGUGGGACAGACCUCUGUCCUUCCCUACUCCCUGCUGGAGAGGCAGGGAGAGACAAGCAGCUUCUGAGAGGCUUGUUGGUUUGUGUUCAUUAACAGCAGCUGUCAGACAGCUCUCACUGAAGCUCCCCAUUCUUUCAAAACCAUCACGGUUUUCUAUUUCACAUAGAAAUAUGCAGCAGUUUCGUUUGUAUAAAACCUGCAUGAAUAAAAAUUUAAUCUAAGGCUAUCACCGCUCUAACAGCAAUAAUUUCUCUUAAAGGCUCCAUACGAAGAAUACUAAAUACUGUCUAUAAAUAAGAUUGUAUUUAAUAGAGGAGAGAAGCAAUUUAAUAAGCUCACUAGUAAAGUCUUCCCUGCCACUUUCAACCUCAAUAUAGGUCUUUUUUCCUGAGCAAAACUAGUUUGUUACAAGGAAAACUCUGGUCCUGUUAAACUUUGAUUUUUUAAGGUGAAGUCAUUCAGUUCUAGCUUUCCUGUCCAAAAGGAAGAGGAAAAAUAUCUACUUAAAGGAAAUAUUAGUUAAUCAGAGGACAUCCCUUUCAUAAUAGAAGCUACUAAGGGAUUUAAAAGCACAUUCUAAUUAUAAUAGUUCCCUAAUUAUCUGCCUAACAUCUCAUUUUUCUGUCUAAUACCACUUUUAAUUAUAUAGUACCUUUUUUUGCCCAUCACACAACUGAAGUACUCUAUUUUACUGAAAAUAAAUCCAUUUAACUGGCGAUGUCAGAGGAGAAAUAUUGUCAUUGCACCCUGGAACGUGCACACUGUCUGGGAGGGAAAUGCCUUGCCAGUGGUUUUGGAUAAAGCUCCUGGAUGUGCCCUUUAGAAACAGUUUCAUUUAAAGCUUUCCAGGUUUUCUCAAGCAAAAGAAAAUGUUCUAAACCACAUGGCACUCUGCAAGCGUGUCCGAUUGCAAAAGUUUUCACGUAUUCAGCUUUGUUUUCCAAACUCUUGCAGCUUGGUCUCCCUUUCACUGAUGUUCAGUGGGAUCCUUGCCACCGGCUGAUGGCAGAAUAGGAUUUGGCCUUUGAACCAAGCCAGCAUGCAAUUUGCAGAGAGGAAGCAAUAUUUGAGCUGUGUUAUCUACGAGCAUCUGGUCAUCAAGAUCUCGCUCGGCGAUUAGUGAGCCAAGAGGAAACCCUAUGGAGGGGGGAGAGGAAAUCCCUCACGCGGGGUUCCCAUUUCCAGCCCCGCCAUGAGUUUCCUGCCCCAUCCUCGAGCAAAUCCCAGCUCUCUCCACUUCCCAAGAAUAAAAAAAAAAAAAAAAAAAAGAAAAUAAUUACCCUUCAGGGAAGUUGUCAGGCUUAAUGGAUGUUUAUAAAUCGCUCGAACAAAAGGUGCUAUGUCAGUGAAAAGUGCUCAUCCCGAUGAUUAUUCAAAUGCUCAUUAAAAUGCAUUUUGCUCUAUCCUUUCCCUUGGUUUGUGUGGGAGGCAAUUGAAAGAUUUAGUCUUUGUGGGAAAGCAGAAGAGCUCGAGAGCUUUCCUUUGGGUGUGGGAGUGGCAAGUUUGGAGAGUUAAGGACCUCUGGCAUGCAGGUAGGGUUUCAUCCAAGGCCUUUAGGCUCUCAUCCAGGCUGCAAGCUCCAACAGACCAAGGACUGGCAAGUUCCCUCCAGGAAGACAAGGCAGUGAUUAAUGGUACCAACCCCUGCUCAAAUUUGCAUGUAUCAUUUCCUUAGCUUUGCUCCUGAUGGAAUUAGGGAUCAUCCUUUAGCGAAAAUUAUUCUUAAUGUGUAUUUAAGCAUUAAAAAUGAAUAUGCGUGUGCGAUAAAACUUAGGGAAUAAUUUAUAAACAGCUAACAUAACGUGAGAUAUGGAACAGCAGGCUGCCCUGCAAACCUGUGCAAAUGCAUGUAUAAAGCCAGGAUGCUUCUUCCCUCAUGGAUGUUUCAUUAUGUCUCGCUGACCCUUUUGUGGCAGCUUGGUCUGCCAGGUUCCACUGGCAUUUCCAGGUAUUAAAAGCUGAAGAAGACUUGGUAUAUCUUUAUACUUUUCACUGCAUCAGACAGCAGCUUGGCACUGAGCUGGCAGUCUAGAUGCAGUAUUUUUCACCCUCUGCAGCUCCAUAAAGCUUCAUGUGCAGCCACAUGCCCUCAAAUAGCAUCCACAAUGAACAGUAACUCUUCUAUCUGCUGACUUCUGAAUCAGCAGCAUUAGGCCUGGAUAGGCAAAACACAGAUUUCCUGGGGAGGAGUUUCUAUCCAAAAUGCAAAGAAUUUUAUCCUUUUCGGUCAAAGGGACUAUGCAAUAGAUAAUAUUAUUUCUAAUAAAGUGUGGUUACUUGCUCCUAUCAUCAUGUUUACAGGAUGGGAGAUGCUCUUGCAGGGCACUGUGACUGCUUCCAAAUUCAAUUCUCUCCACUUGCCCUUGCAGUUGUCACAAAGAGCAUCAGUAGCGACUCCUCCACCAGUUUUUUGACUUCUACUUUUUUCCCCCCUCACCUGGGGGAUGCUUUAUCUGUCUUGUCCUUCCUUGCCCCUUGCUCCUGCUGCAGGCAGCUGCUGGGAGGAACUCAGCCUCCUCCAGUGUGUUACACAACCAUGUGAACUGGCACUUCUUGCAUCUCCUCUGCAGAGGCUGGAAGAGACCGUGCAAAGUGUGAACCAGGGACUUUGAGGUGGUCUUCUGUACCUGCCCCUCUCUCAUCCAGGACUUGGAUGUGAUGCACAUCAAGAAACUGAAGGAGAGCAGGAUGUGUCAGUCGGAUCUUUCCUGCCCUCCUCUUCUUACUCCAGACUUGUCUUCAUCCACUGACCACUGUGGCUCUGCACCAACUCUACCACCUCCCAGCAGAUGGAAAGAGAUGCUUUUGUUCAAAUAUUGCCUGGCUCAUUCUUCUUUAAUAAACUGGUUGUUUAGUUUAA